UACGGAGGGUGCAAGCGUUAUCCGGAUUCACUGGGUUUAAAGGGUGCGUAGGAGGGCAGGUAAGUCAGUGGUGAAAUCUCCAAGCUUAACUUGGAAACUGCCGUUGAUACUAUCUGUCUUGAAUAUUGUGGAGGUGAGCGGAAUAUGUCAUGUAGCGGUGAAAUGCUUAGAUAUGACAUAGAACACCAAUUGCGAAGGCAGCUCGUUACACGAAUAUUGACACUCAGGCACGAAAGCGUGGGGAUCAAACAGG
rnacentral:rRNA from 1 species